rnacentral:rRNA from 1 species
GACGAGCGCUGGCGGCGUGCUUAACACAUGCAAGUCGAACGGAAAGGCCCUUCGGGGUACUCGAGUGGCGAACGGGUGAGUAACACGUGGGUGAUCUGCCCUGCACUUUGGGAUAAGCCUGGGAAACUGGGUCUAAUACCGGAUAGGACCACGGCAUUCAUGUGCUGUGGUGGAAAGCUUUUGCGGUGUGGGAUGGGCCCGCGGCCUAUCAGCUUGUUGGUGGGGUAAUGGCCUACCAAGGCGACGACGGGUAGCCGGCCUGAGAGGGUGACCGGCCACACUGGGACUGAGAUACGGCCCAGACUCCUACGGGAGGCAGCAGUGGGGAAUAUUGCACAAUGGGCGCAAGCCUGAUGCAGCGACGCCGCGUGAGGGAUGACGGCCUUCGGGUUGUAAACCUCUUUCGCCAGGGACGAAGCGCAAGUGACGGUACCUGGAGAAGAAGGACCGGCCAACUACGUG